rnacentral:rRNA from 1 species
UGGGGAAUAUUGGACAAUGGGCGAAAGCCUGAUCCAGCCAUGCCGCGUGUGUGAAGAAGGUCUUCGGAUUGUAAAGCACUUUAAGUUGGGAGGAAGGGCAUUAACCUAAUACGUUAGUGUUUUGACGUUACCGACAGAAUAAGCACCGGCUAACUCUGUGACAGCAGCCGCGGUAAUACAGAGGGAGCAAGCGUUAAUCGGAAUUACUGGGCGUAAAGCGCGCGUAGGUGGUUUGUUAAGUUGGAUGUGAAAUCCCCGGGCUCAACCUGGGAACUGCAUUCAAAACUGACUGACUAGAGUAUGGUAGAGGGUGGUGGAAUUUCCUGUGUAGCGGUGAAAUGCGUAGAUAUAGGAAGGAACACCAGUGGCGAAGGCGACCACCUGGACUAAUACUGACACUGAGGUGCGAAAGCGUGGGGAGCAAACA